CCUACGGGAGGCAGCAGUGGGGAAUAUUGCGCAAUGGGCGAAAGCCUGACGCAGCGACGCAGCGUGAGGGACGAAGGCCUUCGGGUUGUAGACCUCUUUCAGCGGGGACGAAGCGAAAGUGACGGUACCCGCAGAAGAAGCACCGGCUAACUACGUGCCAGCAGCCGCGGUAAUACGUAGGGUGCAAGCAUUGUCCGGAUUUAUUGGGCGUAAAGAGCUCGUAGGCGGCUUGUCACGUCGGAUGUGAAAACUCGGGGCUCAACCCCGAGCCUGCAUUCGAUACGGGCUAGCUAGAGUGUUGCAGGGGAGACUGGAAUUCCUGGUGUAGCGGUGAAAUGCGCAGAUAUCAGGAGGAACACCGGUGGCGAAGGCGGGUCUCUGGGCAACUACUGACGCUGAGGAGCGAAAGCGUGGGGAGCGAACAGGAUUAGAUACCCUGGUAGUCCACGCCGUAAACGGUGGGCGCUAGGUGUGGGGAACCUUCCACGUUCUCUGUGCCGUAGCUAACGCAUUAAGCGCCCCGCCGCGGGAGGUACGGCCGCGACGGACGUAAACGUACUAAAGUAGUAAGUUAGACGGUCGUUGAGACGUUGCCGACGGCGACGACGAGGGAGGAGG
rnacentral:rRNA from 1 species